GACGAACGCUGGCGGCGUGCUUAACACAUGCAAGUCGAACGGAAAGGCCCUGCUUGCAGGGUACUCGAGUGGCGAACGGGUGAGUAACACGUGGGUGAUCUGCCCUGCACUUCGGGAUAAGCCUGGGAAACUGGGUCUAAUACCGGAUAGGAGCCAUUUUUAGUGUGAUGGUUGGAAAGUUUUUUCGGUGUAGGAUGAGCUCGCGGCCUAUCAGCUUGUUGGUGGGGUAAUGGCCUACCAAGGCGGCGACGGGUAGCCGGCCUGAGAGGGUGGACGGCCACAUUGGGAUUGAGAGACGGCCCAGACUCCGACGGGGGGGAGCAGGGGGGAAAAUUGCACAAAGGGCGCCAGCCUGAUGCAGCGACGCCGCGGGGGGGAUGACGGCCUUAGGGUUGGAAACACCUUUCGCUAGGGACGAAGCUUUUUGUGACGGUACCUAGAUAAGAAGCACCGGCUAACUACGUG
rnacentral:rRNA from 1 species